rnacentral:rRNA from 1 species
CCCUAAACCGAUGGAUACUCGACAUCNAGCGAUACACUNCNUGGUGUCUGAGCGAAAGCAUUAAGUAUCCCCACCUGGGAAGUACGAUCGCAAGAUUGAAACUCAAAGGAAUUGGNCGGGGGUCCGCACAAGCGGUGGAGCAUGUGGUUUAAUUNGAUGAUACGCGAGGAACCUUACCUGGGCUAGAAUGCCAGUGGACCGUGGGUGAAAGCUCACUUUGUAGCAAUACACCGCUGGUAAGGUGCUGCAUGGCUGUCGUCAGACUCGUGCCCGUGAGGUGUUGGGUUAAGUCCCGCAACGAGCGCAACCCCCAUCACUAGUUGCCAUCAGGUAAUGCUGGGAACUCUAGUGAAACUGCCGUCGCCAAGACGUGAGGAAGGAGGGGAUGAUGUCAAGUCAUCAUGGCCUUUAUGACCCAGGGCUACACACGUGCUACAAUGGGGAGGACAAAGGGCUGCCACUUAGUGAUAAGGAGCUAAUCCCAAAAACCUCCUCUCAGUUCAGAUUGGAGUCUGCAACUCGACUCCAUGAAGCUGGAAUCGCUAGUAAUCGUAUAUCAGCAAUGAUACGGUGAAUACGUUCCCGGACCUUGCACACACCGCCCGUCAAGCCAUGGAAGCCGGGUGUACCUAAAGUCGGUAACCGCAAGGAGCCGCCUAGGGUAAAACCUGGUGACUGGGGCUAAGUCGUAANCAAGGUACC